rnacentral:rRNA from 1 species
AGUGAACGCUGGCGGUAGGCCUAACACAUGCAAGUCGAACGGCAGCACAGUAAGAGCUUGCUCUUACGGGUGGCGAGUGGCGGACGGGUGAGGAAUACAUCGGAAUCUACUUUUUCGUGGGGGAUAACGUAGGGAAACUUACGCUAAUACCGCAUACGACCUACGGGUGAAAGCAGGGGAUCUUCGGACCUUGCGCGAUUGAAUGAGCCGAUGUCGGAUUAGCUAGUUGGCGGGGUAAAGGCCCACCAAGGCGACGAUCCGUAGCUGGUCUGAGAGGAUGGUCAGCCACACUGGAACUGAGACACGGUCCAGACUCCUACGGGAGGCAGCAGUGGGGAAUAUUGGGCAAUGGGCGCAAGCCUGAUCCAGCCAUACCGCGUGGGUGAAGAAGGCGUUCGGGUUGUAAAGCCCUUUUGUUGGGAGAGAAAAGCAGCAGGUUAAUACCCCGCUGUUCUGACGGUACCCGAAGAAUAAGCACCGGCUAACUUCGUG